UCAGAAGUGCGAAUGCUGACAUAAGUAACGAUAAAGCGGGUGAAAAGCCCGCUCGCCGGAAGACCAAGGGUUCCUGUCCAACGUUAAUCGGGGCAGGGUGAGUCGACCCCUAAGGCGAGGCCGAAAGGCGUAGUCGAUGGGAAACAGGUUAAUAUUCCUGUACUUGGUGUUACUGCGAAGGGGGGACGGAGAAGGCUAUGUUGGCCGGGCGACGGUUGUCCCGGUUUAAGCGUGUAGGCUGGUUUUCCAGGCAAAUCCGGAAAAUCAAGGCCGAGGCGUGAUGACGAGGCACUACGGUGCUGAAGCAACAAAUGCCCUGCUUCCAGGAAAAGCCUCUAAGCAUCAGGUAACAUCAAAUCGUACCCCAAACCGACACAGGUGGUCAGGUAGAGAAUA
rnacentral:rRNA from 2 species